CUCCCCUUGAACACUAAGCAGAAGGCUGGGGCUGAGGGAGGCAGAGAAGAGGGGAAGGCAGGCUGGAGGAGAAGCAGGGACAGGGAGAGCCGGGGCCGGGGUAGGAGCUCCGGGGCUGGGGGGUUAGUGGGAUGAAGGAAAAAGUGUGAAGGUGGGUGGGCGGGGUGGUCAAGGAACCUGGGCUAAAGAGGGGGAGAAGGUGAGGAAGAUGGAGGCUGAGGAGAGGCCGCGGUGAAGGUGCCAUAGCUCCAAGAGGGAAUGCUAGGUUGGAGGGAGGGAUGAGGAAGGUAGAGGAAGAGGAGGAGGAGGCCAGGUAAGGAAGAUCAAUUGGGAACUGUGAUUAAGAAUCAAGUGAGACUGGGCUGUCUGGACUUGAACAGAGAGAAAUAUUACUUUUACUGUGUAGAUGACUGUAGGAGAAGACAUUUAUGAAGCUGACGAUGUCUAAUGCAAGUUACGGAAUAGGAACUAGACUAACCUGGGACUGAGCACUGACAGAGACAGGCAGCAAGACAACCAACACACAGGCAGGAAAAGAUGGAGAAAAUCAAUAUUCCAGCUGUGGCAGUGGGGAGGCUGGUUUCCUUUUCCUGCCAUGGAUGUAAACCUGGUUUGGACAGUGGGUGACAUCCAAUCAAACAACGGGACCACAGGCCCUGUCACAAUGACAGCUGUGACAUCACUGCAAGGGCUAGCGGAGAGAAGACAGCGGAGCUCCAGACAGACAGCGGGGUACCGCGGGGCUGCACGCCGACCAAAGCGCGCCGGCUGA
rnacentral:lncRNA from 1 species